rnacentral:rRNA from 1 species
AGAUUGAACGCUGGCGGCAGGCCUAACACAUGCAAGUCGAGCGGCAGCACGGGUACUUGUACCUGGUGGCGAGCGGCGGACGGGUGAGUAAUGCCUAGGAAUCUGCCUGGUAGUGGGGGAUAACGCUCGGAAACGGACGCUAAUACCGCAUACGUCCUACGGGAGAAAGCAGGGGACCUUCGGGCCUUGCGCUAUCAGAUGAGCCUAGGUCGGAUUAGCUAGUUGGUGAGGUAAUGGCUCACCAAGGCGACGAUCCGUAACUGGUCUGAGAGGAUGAUCAGUCACACUGGAACUG